AGGAGAAACACCAAUCAGAAAGGACUGGCGUUCACAUCUUGAAUCCUAAAAACGGUCAGGGAGUAAGCAGACACACUCUGUCAAAGAAGAAUCAUCAAGUCAUCUGGGAGCCCGGCCUGAGUAAACGCAGGGCAGCGAGGAUUGUUGCGAAAGGGCAUCUUUUUGCAGUCUGUUUGAGUUAGCCUUUGUAAAUCUACCACCUUUGUGAUUGCUUUCCUCUGCUUCGUGAUUCUGCAGCCGGACUCUGAGGAUGGCAUUUCUCCUUUGCCAGCUGGCUUGAUGCUGUGUUUUGUCAUGCAGAAGAUACCGAGGCUCACAAUGAGCCUGGAAGGUUUCUUCUGACAGCAGACUUAAAAUCACUGGCACCCGAAUCUUUGGCCCAGGCUCUUCUUUUGGUAGAGGGCAUCAAAGCACCCCCUAAGGCAUCACUCAGAGAAGGCUUCUGCCCAACUCUCACCCACACGACGAUCCAAAAACCCAAGGAAAGUGGUGUGUCCGCCUUCAAAACAACUUGAAUCUGAACAUCUAUGCUCGCACCAAAAGAAUAAUAGGUGUUUUUAUUCACCUUACAAAAGACUUUACAACAAGGUUCUAAAUACAGGGAACUCCGCUCGCACGCUCAAAAUAAAAUUACAAA